rnacentral:rRNA from 1 species
GAUGAACGCUAGCGGGAGGCUUAACACAUGCAAGUCGUGGGGCAGCACGGGGUAGCAAUACUCUGGUGGCGACCGGCGCACGGGUGAGUAACGCGUAUGCAACCUACCCAGUACAGGGGAAUAGCCCGGAGAAAUUCGGAUUAAUACCCCAUAAUGAUAUAGAGAGGCAUCUUUUUAUAUUUAAAGCUUCGGCGGUACUGGAUGGGCAUGCGUAAGAUUAGCUAGUUGGUAGGGUAACGGCCUACCAAGGCUCCGAUCUUUAGGGGUCCUGAGAGGGUGCUCCCCCACACUGGUACUGAGACACGGACCAGACUCCUACGGGAGGCAGCAGUGAGGAAUAUUGGUCAAUGGGCGCAAGCUUGAACCAGCCAUCCCGCGUGAAGGAAGAAGGCGCUAUGCGUUGUAAACUUCUUUUCCGGAGGAAUAAAAUCUUGUACGUGUACAGGACUGAAGGUACUCCGGGAAUAAGCAUCGGCUAACUCCGUGCCAGCCGCCGCGGUAACAC